UUUCUGUUAUGCUUAAUCUUGAUGAUUGUUAAAACAUUGAGGUUUCUUCAUAAUGGAUCAUUUCCAACCGAUUUCUUCCAAAAAAGUUUACCGCGAUUACCAAUUCCGUCGCUUGAAAGCACUAUAUCCAAAUACCUAAAUGCAACUCGACCACUUGUCUCUGCAAAAUCAUAUGAAAAAACGAGUCAAAUUUGUUUGGAUUUUCAAAAAACAGUUGGAAAUGAACUUCAAAAACAGUUGAUAGACAGAGAUUCCAGAAACCCGCAAUCAAGUUAUAUUAAUC